AUAUAUAUAUAUAUCCGGAUUAUAAGGCACUGUCGUUUUGUGAGGAAAUUAAAGGCUUUUAAGUGCGCCUUGGAGUGCGGACAAUGCGGUGUGAAGGUGUGGACUCUGCUAUGAAUCAAGCUGAGGACCCAGAGGACGGAGUCCCUCCCUCUGAAGCCCCUCUGUGUGGGGAACAUGACAGCCAGACCAAAGCUCAGAGGACCCAUCAGAGACCAGAAGAAGAUCUAAGGAGACUUCUACAGUAAGAAGUAAAAACAGAUGAAACUGAUGACUAACUGUCACUCAACUAAUAAACUGUCCAUCGACAGUCUUCAGCAUCUGGUUUUCAUGAUGAUCAAUGACAGAAGCUGGAGGAAUUACAGUUUGUGUUCUACAUUCAGUCACAUCUUACUGUGUGCAAGCAGGCUGCUUUACUGGCUGUUCUUACCCACAAUCCUUUGCACAGCAGGUAUAUGAGCCAGAGGGUUCAACUAGUCUACAUGUAGAAGAAGACCAGGUGACAAAGAGGGACGUGCACGGGUCCUCUGGGUCCAACAACAGCAUCCAGUCUGUUGUCAUAGCAACUCUUUACAAGGUGGAAGGAUCGUUCCACAGAUGCUGGUUUUGAUCCUGAAAGACUCUUGUUGAGCCGUGAGGAGGAUUCUGUUCACGAGGACCUUUGACCCUGUUAACAGCUCAGACUGAGACUCAGUCAACCAGUCAGACUGCAUACUUUGAUGGUGACGUGAGGACGCACCCUCUCUGAUGAAGGACAACAAGCUCUAACAAGCUGCAACACUUCACUCCGUCUGAUGGAAGCUGAAGUGAAGCACGGAGCUCCUUUUCUACACGGACCUGCUGAGGACAGAACAGAGCUGCUCACUGAGG
ensembl:lncRNA